GCUCGCGUAGCUCAGUGGAUAGAGUGUUCCCCUCCGAAGGGAAAGGUCGCAGGUUCAAAUCCCGCCGCGAGUA
rnacentral:tRNA from 1 species